ensembl:lncRNA
CAGAGAGUUAGUCACAGCGAGAGGCUGUGAUGCAGCCCAUGAUGCAUUUCUCGCAUCUGCAGAGCCCCUGCUUUUAUUUCAGGACACAUAGAGACCUUAGCAGGGGCCGUGCUUCCUGUCUCUUGGGGGGAGGAAACUUCUCCCUUUUCCCUCUUUUCCCCACCUCUUCUUACUGAGUGUGACCUCAUUCUGUAUGCAGCGUCCGUUUUAUCUCUUUUUGUCAGCUAUCUUGUCUCUGUCCCCUCCCAAGCUCCUGUUCAUCUCCAGCCUGCCAAAGAGCCAUAAAAUAGAGGUGCUUGGGUUGGAAGGGACAUUAAAGGGCAUGGAAUCACUUAUAGAAUUGUAAAAACCAGCAAAACAAACAAACAAACAAACAAACAAACAAACAGUAUAAGCACAGAAUUAAAGAAGCCGAAACCAUACUGCCAUUAGUUAGGAGCUCAUUGCUUGUGUUCCAGUUGAGAAGGGCCACAGAUCAUUUUGUCUGGUCAAGAAGGGGUGAAGGUCGAGUUCUCUCCAUCCCCAUUCAAGUGGGAUUUUUCAUCAUGAGUCAUGGGUUGUAAGCACUGUGGAGAAAUUUUCCCUUGAUGAAUGGAUUCAGAAUGUACGAAGGAAUGAGCAGGGUUGCUACCAGGAGCUCAUGGCGAGAAGAUCCCCGUGGAUAUGGGUUGCCCAGCACUCACACUGGAUUCCUCCACAGCCGGUGCCUUCCAAAUGCUGCCUGGCAAUGUGCUGCUCUCUGUGAGGGAAUGGGAAAUGGGUUUGGAGUGGUUGCUUGCUGGGAUGGGCUCAGGAUUGAUUUUCACUUGUAGAAUGCCUCCUUGCAUUGGGCAGUGUGUUCAGUCCAACCCCAUGGCAAUCCCUCAUCAUGCACGUGUCCAGGGGCUAUCAUGGAUGUUCCCAUGAAGGAGUACUUCCUUCUCCAGUCCCAAGAUAAUCCCUUUUUUUUCCAUGGUUGAUCUCACAGGUAAUGCUGCCCUGCCCAAGGAGCUCCCCAGGGUCCCAUUCCCCUCUUUUCCCACAAGCCUUUUCCACUGUUGUCCCUGUGUUGACCAUGGCUUCCAGGGGACUGAUUGGAGAGAUAGGGACAGUGGGGAGUGAUGGGCACAUUGUGC